CACGGUCCUUAAGAAAAAUCUCUGGCGGAUUUCUCUCUCCCAGCUCGCCCUCCCCGCUUCGUUUGGACUCAGGCUGCCCAGACGUUCGUGACAUCUGUGCGGACCCUUUUCCCGCCUCUCUCCAGCCCACUGUUCGCCUCGUCUCUCGCCGGGGCCCCUCUUGGCCCGGAGAUCAAUGUCCCCGGAAGCUCCGCCACCCGCAUCCCAGCCCUGGCCCGAACAGGUCAAAAGAGGCCGCCAAGGAAAACCACCGGGUGCCCACGGCCCGCGGAAUCGAAGGGGUAGGGCGUGGGCUCCGGGCCACUGCGGGCCCUGCCCGAGGGGAUGGCGGCUGAGGGCGCACAGAGGCCGCGGCGAACGCGAGGAAGGCUCACUCACCACCAGAUCGGGAAAGAGAACGCGGGAUCUCCUGGUAUUUUGGGGUGGCGCGCGCAGCUGUGCCCUGAGCUCUGGGACCUCGGAUCACCGGGUCUGACAGGGCCCAGAAGGGAUUUCUGACAACGGAGGUGCUCGGCCUGCCUGGGAUUAGAGCUUCGACGAGGAUCCCCCAGACAAAGGGGUGGAUCCAUACACAGGGGUGGCCAUCCC